UUUAUACAACGGAGAGUUUGAUCCUGGCUCAGGAUGAACGCUAGCGGCAGGCCUAACACAUGCAAGUCGAACGGUAACAUAAGAGCUUGCUCUUGAUGACGAGUGGCGCACGGGUGAGUAACGCGUAUGCAAUCUACCUAUAACUGAGGGAUAGCCCAGAGAAAUUUGGAUUAAUACCUCAUAAUAAUAUUUUUUGGCAUCAUUAAAUAUUUAAAACUCCGGUGGUUAUAGAUGAGCAUGCGUUCUAUUAGUUUGUUGGUGAGGUAAAAGCUCACCAAGACUACGAUAGAUAGGGGGCCUGAAAGGGUGAUCCCCCACACUGGUACUGAGACACGGACCAGACUCCUACGGGAGGCAGCAGUGAGGAAUAUUGCACAAUGGAGGAAACUCUGAUGCAGCCAUGCCGCGUGCAGGAUGACGGCCCUAUGGGUUGUAAACUGCUUUUUUACAAGAAGAAACCUUGGUACGUGUACCAACUUGACGGUAUUGUAAGAAUAAGCACCGGCUAACUCCGUGCCAGCAGCCGCGGUAAUACGGAGGGUGCAAGCGUUAUCCGGAUUUAUUAGGUUUAAAGGGUUCGCAGGCGGAAUUUUAAGUCAGUGGUGAAAGCCUAUAGCUCAACUAUAGAACUGCCAUUGAUACUGAAAUUCUUGAGUAUAGAUGAAGUGGGCGGAAUAUGUCAUGUAGCGGUGAAAUGCAUAGAUAUGACAUGGAACACCAAUUGCGAAGGCAGCUCACUAAACUAUUACUGACGCUCAUGAACGAAAGCAUGGGGAGCGAACAGGAUUAGAUACCCUGGUAGUCCAUGCUGUAAACUAUGAUCACUAGAUGUUGGCGAUAUAUUGUCAGUGUUUUAGAGAAAUCGUUAAGUGAUCCACCUGGGGAGUACGUUCGCAAGAAUGAAACUCAAAGGAAUUGACGGGGGCCCGCACAAGCGGUGGAGCAUGUGGUUUAAUUCGAUGAUACGCGAGGAACCUUACCA
rnacentral:rRNA from 1 species